rnacentral:rRNA from 1 species
UGAACGCUGGCGGCAUGCCUUACACAUGCAAGUCGAACGGCAGCACGGGUGCUUGCACCUGGUGGCGAGUGGCGAACGGGUGAGUAAUACAUCGGAACAUGUCCUGUAGUGGGGGAUAGCCCGGCGAAAGCCGGAUUAAUACCGCAUACGAUCUACGGAUGAAAGCGGGGGACCUUCGGGCCUCGCGCUAUAGGGUUGGCCGAUGGCUGAUUAGCUAGUUGGUGGGGUAAAGGCCUACCAAGGCGACGAUCAGUAGCUGGUCUGAGAGGACGACCAGCCACACUGGGACUGAGACACGGCCCAGACUCCUACGGGAGGCAGCAGUGGGGAAUUUUGGACAAUGGGCGAAAGCCUGAUCCAGCAAUGCCGCGUGUGUGAAGAAGGCCUUCGGGUUGUAAAGCACUUUUGUCCGGAAAGAAAUCCUUGGCUCUAAUACAGUCGGGGGAUGACGGUACCGGAAGAAUAAGCACCGGCUAACUACGUGCCAGCAGCCGCGGUAAUACGUAGGGUGCGAGCGUUAAUCGGAAUUACUGGGCGUAAAGCGUGCGCAGGCGGUUUGCUAAGACCGAUGUGAAAUCCCCGGGCUCAACCUGGGAACUGCAUUGGUGACUGGCAGGCUAGAGUAUGGCAGAGGGGGGUAGAAUUCCACGUGUAGCAGUGAAAUGCGUAGAGAUGUGGAGGAAUACCGAUGGCGAAGGCAGCCCCCUGGGCCAAUACUGACGCUCAUGCACGAAAGCGUGGGGGAGCAAACAGGAUUAGAUACCCUGGUAGUCCACGCCCUAAACGAUGUCAACUAGUUGUUGGGGAUUCAUUUCCUUAGUAACGUAGCUAACGCGUGAAGUUGACCGCCUGGGGAGUACGGUCGCAAGAUUAAAACUCAAAGGAAUUGACGGGGACCCGCACAAGCGGUGGAUGAUGUGGAUUAAUUCGAUGCAACGCGAAAAACCUUACCUACCCUUGACAUGGUCGGAAUCCCGCUGAGAGGUGGGAGUGCUCGAAAGAGAACCGGCGCACAGGUGCUGCAUGGCUGUCGUCAGCUCGUGUCGUGAGAUGUUGGGUUAAGUCCCGCAACGAGCGCAACCCUUGUCCUUAGUUGCUACGCAAGAGCACUCUAAGGAGACUGCCGGUGACAAACCGGAGGAAGGUGGGGAUGACGUCAAGUCCUCAUGGCCCUUAUGGGUAGGGCUUCACACGUCAUACAAUGGUCGGAACAGAGGGUUGCCAACCCGCGAGGGGGAGCUAAUCCCAGAAAACCGAUCGUAGUCCGGAUUGCACUCUGCAACUCGAGUGCAUGAAGCUGGAAUCGCUAGUAAUCGCGGAUCAGCAUGCCGCGGUGAAUACGUUCCCGGGUCUUGUACACACCGCC